GGGUGAGAUUAUAAUACCACGGAUUCAAUUACGACGAUAAUGAUGCCAAUAGUCUGAAGUCCGCCGAACGGAGUGGCACGGUUGCGAAAUUCUCCUCCCCAACCCAUUUCGUUCGCCGCCAGCGACGCCGGCACACAACAAGUGAGACCCCGGUUUCCUUCCGCCGUAGUUUUCCCUUCAUCGUCCUCCUCCUCCGUUCCACUAGCAACACCGGAGCGGAGCGGAGAUCCACUCUCCGGACUUAGACCGGUUUCCUUCUCCGUGUGGCGAGUUCAAUACCUGACUCGGGUGCCCCUUCCCCAUGUCGCACGUCGAGCCCGCCGCCGCCGGAGUGGACCAAGUCGGCGAGGGGACGGUCGUGCCGCACGACAACGGUGUCAGCGGCACCGGGGGUGACGUGGCCACCACGGAAGCGCAAGUGGCUGUUGCCGUUUCCACCUCCGGCGACGAGAGGCGGGGGGAUUACGGCGAUGAUGCAGAGAACGAGGAGGAGGAGGAGGCCGCAACGGUGCAGGGCAGCAAGGAGGGCACUGACGAGCUGCUCCGGAAGGUGGUGUGCAGCGAAGAGGCCGCCUACAAGCUCUACUGCGAUUACGGCCACCGCAUGGGGUUCAGCAUCCGGAAAGGGAAGCAGUCCUACUUCACCGGCACCAAGCGGAUACGCACCAAGGACUACUUCUGCUCCAAGGAGGGGCUCAAGGAAGGGGAGAAGCUCACUGAUGCAAAUUUCAACGACCCCCACACCAGGACCAAUUGCAGGGCCAUGGUGCGGUUCAGGGUGAAUGAUCAGGGGGAGUGGAAGGUUAUCCGACUGGUAUCUGAUCAUAACCACAACCUGGCAAGGCCUGAGGAACGACAUCUUUUGCGGUCUGCAAGGUCGCUUAUAGCAGGGCGGUCAAGUUCUGUGGAGGUGAUGUUGUAUGGGGGUUAUCAGGUGCAAGGUGGGGCUCCACAAUUGCCUACAGGGAGUACUAGUGCAACCAACAAUGUGGAGAAUCAGAAGCAAGAUUUGCUCCUCGGCUACGGUGCUGCGACAAAGACACUGACUAUAGGAACUGGGGAUGUGCAGAGCCUUGUGAGCCAUCUGAAAAGCAGGGCAAAUGAAGAUGGUAUGUUUUACUGGGAUGUUCAAUUGGACCGAGGUGGUCGGAUGACUAAUUUCUUUUGGCGUGAUGGGAGGAGCAGGACUGACUAUGACUGUUUCUGUGAUGUGGUCGUGUUUGAUUCAACUUACCGCUUGAGCAAACAUAACCUGAUAUGUGCACCGUUUGUUGGCGUCAAUCAUCAUUGGCAGACCACUAUGUAUGGUUGCGCACUUUUAGCUGACGAGUCUACGUCAGCUUUUGUGUGGCUGUUCAAGUCUUUCUUGGAGUCCAUGGGGAACCGACAUCCACAAUCUAUUUUCACAAAUCUAGAUCAAGUUGUGACAAAAGCGGUUGAGGAGGUCUUCCCAAAUGCACGCCAUCGCAUUGCUCAUUGGCACAUCCAAAAGAAUGCCCACUCUCGUCUGGGUGCUCUUAAUGUCUCAAAAACAUUCAAUAAGAUGUUCACCAAGUGCAUACAGGGAUGUGACUCCGAAGCAGAGUUUGAGGAAACAUGGGCUCAAAUGCUCUGUGAAUUUAAGUUGCAAGAUAACAAGUGGCUUAAAAAAUUGUAUAAGCUCAAACAGAAGUGGUGUAGUGCUCUUAACAACUGCACCUUUGAUGGUGGGAUCGAGUAUGAACCACAAUGUGACAGUAUGAGCAACAUGUUUAAUAAUGUUUCUGAUAAGUUGACUUCUCUUUGUGCAAUUGCUGUUGCUGUGGAUAAACAGACUGAAGAUUGGAGGGAAAAAGAAUUAGAUGAGGAUGCACGGUGUUUCCAAAGGCCACCUGCUUGCAUCAUAAAAUACAGUGAUAUUUUGAAUCAUGCAGCAAAGGUUUAUACACAUAGAAUCUACAAACUGUUUGAGACAGAUUUUCUUGAUGGGUGUGGAGCCACAAAAUUCAAAGAGCUUCCGUGUCAAGAUAACAAUACAUAUCAAUUUGAGAUGACUAUGCAAGGGCGAGGAUCAAGAGUUUGCACAGUUCAUUUCAAUAUGUCUAUGAUGCAAUUAAGUUGCAGCUGCAGUAAGUUUGAGACAAUGGGUUUACUUUGCCCACAUGCUUUGAAAGCUCUUAGUAUAAAAAAUAUAUGCAAAAUUCCAGAAAGCUACAUACUGAAGCGGUGGACCAAGGAUGCGAAGAAAUGGGUUUUUAAUCCAAAACAAUAUGAAUCAUCAUAUCAGGAAUGUAUGAAUGAUGAAGCUGCAUACUGCAACUAUGUUAUGAGAUAUGCUUAUGAUCUUGUCACGAAGAGCCAAGGGCAGGAUGCAUUAAGGAAAGCACUGUGGGAGACUCUUGAAAGUGGUGAGAAAGAAUUGGAGAGAUACCUAGAAAACGUUACCCAACAUGCACCUUAUGCCACUUGAAAGGAUCACUAAUUAACCUCCUAGACUUAUCUGCUAAGGAUGAACAAGAUACUUCCUUGUUCUUUCAAGAUGCAUUCAGAACUUCUCUCAAAUUGUACAUUUAUAGAGAUGAAACGGAUGCUUGUCAAAGAUACAGGCUUGAGUGUUUUGUUGCAUACAAUUGUGCCAUCAGUUAAUAGCAAUUAGCAAACAAAUGCACUUGUAUUUUUCUUUCUUUCAACCUUACAAGAACUAUGCUCAAACAUUCUGUGUGACUCCUACAGCGACGCUGCCAUGCCUGCUUUCAUCUUGGCGGGUUACAUCGUUGAGCUCGCCUUCUGCCCAUAUAGCAUACGCCUCCUCACCAUGUACAGCAUCAUCCCCGAUAAGCAGCUGUGCAUCAGGAAUUCGGAGGGGCAGGACUAGGCCAAUAAGAACACAGAUUAUGGAAGUGAUAACAAUGUUCCAGCCAAUGACGAAGAGUGCGCCAGCGAUCUGCUUCCCAAACUGUGAUCCACCAUCACCACCAUAAAAUGCACCUCUGGAGUCCGGGAUGGCGAGGAAGAGGUUGCAGAGGACAGGCUCAGCAAAGAGUCCAGUAGUGGCGCCGCCGAGGAGCCCAGCGACCGCAUGGGUGUGGAAUACGCCGAGGGUGUCGUCGAUCCUCUGCAUGAAGGACCAUUUCUUGUGCAGUACCAUCAUAGUGUACCAGGGGAUGCUACCUGAGAGAAUUCCCAUGACAAUGGCUGCCCACCCUUGCACCAGGCCUAUUGAAUAGAAGGUGUUUGUUAGGUAACCAGUUAAAAUGGAGAAUGUUCUUUGGGCCUUGUUCGCUACAAAUUAUAAUCUGUACCAUGAAAUUCUUGGUGUCCCUUUUGUCAGCUUGACUAUUAUAUUGUGGUCUUAUUUUUGUUGACUUCCAUGAAA